UACGUAGGGCGCAAGCGUUGUCCGGAAUUAUUGGGCGUAAAGAGCUCGUAGGCGGUCUGUUACGUCCGCUGUGAAAACCCGUGGCUUAACUGCGGGCUUGCAGCCGAUACGGGCGGGCUAGAGUUCGGUAGGGGAGACUGGAAUUCCUGGUGUAGCGGUGAAAUGCGCAGAUAUCAGGAGGAACACCGGUGGCGAAGGCGGGUCUCUGGGCCGAUACUGACGCUGAGGAGCGAAAGCGUGGGGAGCGAACAGG
rnacentral:rRNA from 1 species